rnacentral:rRNA from 1 species
UACGUAGGGCGCAAGCGUUAUCCGGAAUUAUUGGGCGUAAAGAGCGCGCAGGCGGUCGUCCAAGUCGCGUGUGAAAGCCCCCGGCUCAACUGGGGAGGGUCACGCGAUACUGGUCGACUCGAAGGCAGGAGAGGGUAGUGGAAUUCCCGGUGUAGUGGUGAAAUGCGUAGAUAUCGGGAGGAACACCAGUGGCGAAGGCGACUACCUGGCCUGUUCUUGACGCUGAGGCGCGAAAGCUAGGGGAGCAAACGGG